CACUCUGGACUCGUGGCAAAGUCUGACCUUAGCUGCAGAGCCAUGGCCAUGCAAACAUCCUGCCAACAGCCACAGGGCCAGAGAAGCCUGAGCCCCGCUAAAGGCCCUCUACAUGGUCCCUUCUGGGCCCACCUUGCACCACCAGCCUGGUCUUUGCCAUGGCACUGCCCACACUGUUCUGGGCAAUGCAGAAGUAGUUCCCGGCAUCCUCUGGGCUGGUGUGCGUGAUCCACAGCUGGCCGUUGGACUCACCGAGGACGGUCACCUGGUAGCGCCUGCGGGACUCGCCCACCUCGUUGUUCACCACACACUCAAACUGGGCUGAGUCCUGAGGGCCAGGAGCCGCAAGGAGCAGGGCAUUGGAAGGCAGGAGCCUGGGGCAGACAAAUGGAUGGCCGAAGUGAGCAGCCUGGGGGGACUCAAGUUCUGUUCCCAUCAUGCAUGUCAAGUGAUUGACAACUGCCAAUAACUCCAGCUCCAGGGGAUCUGAGACCCUCUUCAGCCCCGUGGGUAACUGCACACAUUUGGGAUCCAUAUAUUCAACACAGCCAACAUCAUACACAUUGGAGAAAAAAAAAAUUUCUUCUAGAACUUUCUACUCUUAUGAAGUCUCAGCUCUUGGACUUGUGAUUUACUUCUGUUCCCAUCCAUGUUUCUCUGCCUCCUGCAUGUUUGGGACCGUGAUUCAGAUUAUGACAACUGAUCUCCAAUCAGAAGUGAUGAGAUACACAAAACGCUUCUGAUGGUCACUAACCAUCGGCUGUGUGUGAGACACGGGCAACACUCGAAGGCUCUCAGAAGCAGCCACAGGGUUCAUGUGUGCCCAACAAAUAGCCUGCCAUUGAGGUUCCCCUAGUACUCUCAUGCCCUGUUUUCAAUGUGCUGAACGAAUCCCUGGUGUUUCUCUGUGGGGGCCAUGUGUUCCCGCACCUCAUCUCUGGCCAGGUGAUCCUAUCUGCUCCAGUGGCACCCCGAGGUCUGGGACCCUCCUCACUGACCCUGCCACACUCUGUAGGGUGGGGUCCCCCAACCUCCCAUGUCUCGCCAUUGUAGACGGACUGUUUGUUACCGGUAGGUGUCUUGCUGCCGGCGGAAGUCCAGCUUCUGCCCAUCCUUCCACCAGCUCACCAGGGG